rnacentral:rRNA from 1 species
GAUGAACGCUGGCGGCGUGCCUAAUACAUGCAAGUCGAGCGAACGGACGAGAAGCUUGCUUCUCUGAUGUUAGCGGCGGACGGGUGAGUAACACGUGGAUAACCUACCUAUAAGACUGGGAUAACUUCGGGAAACCGGAGCUAAUACCGGAUAAUAUUUUGAACCGCAUGGUUCAAAAGUGAAAGACGGUCUUGCUGUCACUUAUAGCUGCAUCCGCGCUGCAUUAGCUAGUUGGUAAGGUAACGGCUUACCAAGGCAACGAUGCAUAGCCGACCUGAGAGGGUGAUCGGCCACACUGGAACUGAGACACGGUCCAGACUCCUACGGGAGGCAGCAGUAGGGAAUCUUCCGCAAUGGGCGAAAGCCUGACGGAGCAACGCCGCGUGAGUGAUGAAGGUCUUCGGAUCGUAAAACUCUGUUAUUAGGGAAGAACAUAUGUGUAAGUAACUGUGCACAUCUUGACGGUACCUAAUCAGAAAGCCACGGCUAACUACGUG